AUAAAGGCGCUGAUGGAUGAAAACACCUAACCCCUAAAGCGACGCAGAUCGCUUUCAGUAUACGGCAAUAAAGUUUCUUUCUUUCUCAUCAUGUUUGUAAAUUCUGUAAAUACUCCCUUUUUUAAAUCUUUAUUCUGGAAGACCAAAGAUCUGUCUCAUGUAAAUUAUGAACUUAAAAUCUGUGUAUAGGAUCAAAUUCCCAAUCUGUCAUUUCGUUGCUCUCACAGCCAUACAUUGAGAUUUCAAAUUAAGACACAUGCGCAACUUAAACAGUAUUUACCUAUCUUAAAAGACAGUUUAGCCUAUAAUUAAUGGAGAUCAUUCAAAGAUCACACUUAAUACAAAAAAAUAUUUUUAUUGAGUGCACAGUAACUAAUCUUACAAAUGUAUGUGCAUUUACAUUGUUUAAUUUUAAUUUGUAUUUAUUUACAAAAAAUACUUAAAAUAGAUGCUUUAAAAAUAAAAUGCUAUAAUUAAUAUAUAAAAUAUAUACGUUAUAUAUUAUAAAUUAUUACAAAUUGUAAAUAACUUGUAGGUAAAAAUAACGUUGGAUACUCUUAUAGUUUAUGCAUUCAGUCAUUUGCAAGACCAAGUAUACAGCCAAAAUUGUAGAAAUGGUAUAUCCUGAUGAUCAAACAAUUUCUAUCCAGAAUUUUAUUAUCCAGAAUUAAAA